rnacentral:rRNA from 1 species
UGCAGAAUCCCGUGAACCAUCGAGUCUUUGAACGCAAGUUGCGCCCGAAGCCGCUAGGCCGAGGGCACGCCUGCUUGGGCGUCA